rnacentral:rRNA from 1 species
AUUGAACGCUGGCGGCAGGCUUAACACAUGCAAGUCGAGCGGGGGAGGUUGCUUCGGUAACUGACCUAGCGGCGGACGGGUGAGUAAUGCUUAGGAAUCUGCCUAUUAGUGGGGGACAACAUUCCGAAAGGGAUGCUAAUACCGCAUACGCCCUACGGGGGAAAGCAGGGGAUCUUCGGACCUUGCGCUAAUAGAUGAGCCUAAGUCGGAUUAGCUAGUUGGUGGGGUAAAGGCCUACCAAGGCGACGAUCUGUAGCGGGUCUGAGAGGAUGAUCCGCCACACUGGGACUGAGACACGGCCCAGACUCCUACGGGAGGCAGCAGUGGGGAAUAUUGGACAAUGGGCGGAAGCCUGAUCCAGCCAUGCCGCGUGUGUGAAGAAGGCCUUUUGGUUGUAAAGCACUUUAAGCGAGGAGGAGGCUCUUAAGGUUAAUACCCUUGAUGAGUGGACGUUACUCGCAGAAUAAGCACCGGCUAACUCUGUGCCAGCAGCCGCCGCCGUAA